GAGUGCGGUACGCGGCCACGCGCUGCCGCUGCGAGAUGCAGCUGGUGCCGCUGCACGGGUCGCGCGAGGGCACCCAGGGCACGAGCAACGAUGGCACAGGCGCCGGCAGACAAGUUGGGACGGAGCGGCCGGUUGAGUACACAGCGCGGCGGACAUCGAAAAUUGAGCAUGGUUGUCCGUUUUUCUGCAUAAACGGGCAAAAUCCGAAUAAAACGGAGGUCUGUUUGAAAGUAUUUUUUGGAAUGUUUAGGAGUUGCAGAGAAAGAGUCGCGUGGGGAUGAUGUCGGGUGGAAGGACGUCCACGUCGAUGGGUCUGCCUGAAUCGCCGGUCAUCUGCUCUUUUUUUAGCCCUAGGCUAUCUAUCCCAGGACGUCUUCAUUAAACAACGAACGAUUACUGGUAAUCGACGUCGCAAUCAGAGCAUAAAGAAACAAGGCACGUUGGGUCCGAGUUUCUUCCAACAAACUCAUCUUUCCUGUUAAGAUUUAUCACGAUAUAAGCACGCGGAAUCUUGAUGAUUUCGCAGCUCAUGCCGAGAUGAUACGAGAUGGAGGUGCCUUCACAUCAACUCGAUCGCUUGUUGGGAAUAUGUUGCUGGCUGAAAGGGACUGAUGGAUGGACGCAUCUUUCUCUCGCUUGGACCUUUUCUCGUGGAUUCCUACCCUUCCCACCGUGAACAUGCAAAAUCUCGUCUAGAUUUCCGACGAUAUUUGUUCAGUGUGCGAAGACGUACCCAUUGGUGAGGGUGUUGGUCCUUACGGGCACGUGCACGAAGACUUACCGACUGUCAUUGAUAAGGUCAAGCCGGUUCCGAUAGGGGAGCGGCGACAACGACGCGUCGGUGACUCGUUCUGGCGGCAGUAGUGGUCGUUUGAUGGUCUCGAGAUAUUAAUGUAAAUUUUACUAUGUUUGAGAUGCUUUGUA